rnacentral:lncRNA from 1 species
UGAAAAAAUUCAAAGCUGGGGACAGAGUUGGGGUUGGGUGCUUGGUUGGGUCAUGCCACAACUGUGAAGAUUGCUCCAACAAUCUUGAAAACUACUGUCCCAAACUGAUAUUCACCUACUGUUCCACCUACUUUGAUGGGACCCCUACAUAUGGAGGUUACUCUGACCUCAUGGUUGUGGAUGAGCACUUUGCCAUUGCAAUUCCAGAAAAUCUACCACUGGAUGGUUGUGCUCCAUUGCUUUGUGCUGGGAUCACCACUUAUAGUCCCUUGAGGCAUUUUGGGCUUGACAAGCCUGGUAUGCAUGUGGGUGUGGUGGGUCUUGGUGGACUUGGCCAUGCUGCUGUCAAAUUUGCCAAGGCUUUUGGGGUUAAGGUCACUGUCAUUAGUACCUCCCCUGGCAAGAAGCAGGAAGCAACUGAAAGGCUCGGGGCGGACUCGUUUUUGGUCAGCCGUGACCAUGCUCAGAUGCAGGUAACCGAUCGAUCUGUUAUGAUUGUUUUCUUUUUUCGUUUUUGGAAUCAAAGCAUACCCUCAAUUUUUGGUUUUCUAUUUCAUAUAUUCAUAAGGGCAUUUUUUGUUAUGAACUUGUGUUUUUUGCUGGUUUGAUGUGUUGGGCAUAACUAGGCUGCCAUGGGCACAAUGGAUGGUAUAAUUGAUACCGUAUCAGCACAACACCCUCUUCUGCCUUUGAUCGGUCUGUUGAAGUCUCAUGGAAAGCUCGUGAUGGUUGGUGCACCGGAGAAGCCUCUUGAGCUUCCGGUCUUCCCUCUCCUCAUGGGUAAGCAUUUGUUAAAUCGCUAUUUUGACCUACGAAUGUAAUAAGAAAAAUCUUGCGGGGUUAAUGUGGAAUGAAAAAAAAUGACAGGGAGGAAGAUAGUGGCUGGGAGUUGCAUUGGAGGCAUCAAGGAGACGCAGGAAAUGAUAGAUUUUGCAGGCAAACACAACAUAACAGCCGAUAUAGAGCUGAUUCCGAUGGACUAUGUGAACACCGCGAUGGAGCGGCUUGUGAAGGCUGACGUUAGGUACCGGUUUGUCAUUGACAUUGGCAACACAUUGAAAGCUGCCUAGCUAGUCUUGUGCAAACCUCGUGGCUUCGGAAUUUGGGUUUCCCCCUAUUAUUGGGCGGUUUUGGAGUCUUCUGGUCUUGUUAUGUUUGUCUGUUGCUAUUUUGUUGCUGAAACUUAUUUUGAAUGAAUAAAAGGUUAUCGAUUUAUAGAAAAAUCAAAUUCCUGAUUUAUAAUGUCUCCUCAUAAUGUUAUUUGAUAUAAUACACACAAAUUAGGCAACUAUUUAAUAAAAUUAUGUUUUUCCCCUUCUUUAAAUUAGGAGAGAAAAAAAUAUAUUGAGAAAAUCUACGAACGAGCUCCAAUCAAAUGAAAGGUAGAUUUAGAAGAUCCUGCUGAAACAGUUGAAUUGCAACUACUAUAGGAAUACCAAAGUCCUAUUGUUAUCCAAGCAUGUGAGCCCACUACACGAUGUGUAGGAAAACUGGUUGCUGUGAUAGUAGACUUGGCAAGGGAGCUUCAAAGUUGAGAACAUUGAUCACUUGCCUUAUCGAUGGCCGCAUCGUGUGGUCAGGGUUGCAACACCAUAGCCCAAUCAACAUUAAUCGCUCUAGUUGGCUCUCGUCUUAUUCCAUAGUUAGACUCUUAUUGGCUGCUUCAAGUAUUUGCCCUCGACCGUAAAGGUCCCAAACCCAGUCUAUUAGUCGUACUCGACUUGGUUCCCACUUCAGCUCUACCGGCCUUCUUCCACAAGUGAUUUCAAGGGCAACAAAACCGAAGCUAUAGGAAUCUGACUCUCUGUUUGCCUUGCCUGUAGUGACACAUUCGGGGGUUAAGUAGCCCGUGGUGCCAGCCAAAAUAAUUGUAUGUGUGCAUAAUUCAUUGUCUAGGAGCCUAGCCAGGCCGAAAUCGCCUAGCUUGGCAUUGUAGUUUGAGUCAAGCAUGACAUUACUUGACUUCAUAUCUCUAUGUACCACACAUUGCUCGCACUCUUCGUGAAGAUAGGGCAAUGCCAAGGCCAAGCCAAGUGCUAUUUUGUACCUCACCGCCAACGUUAACUUCGAUUUCCCACCAAACAGAUGGGAAUCGAGGCUUCCAUUUGGCAUGAACUCAUAAACCACUAGGAAUUCUCCUUGUUCCUGACACCAACCAACUAGUUGAACCAAAUUCCUGCGUUACGUACUCCUUUUCCCCUGCUUUGAUCCUCUUGAGACACGCUUAACCGGCAUUUCAACCUUCGUGUCACGUAACAAACCCUUGUAAACGCCUCCAAAUCCCCCUUCUCCGAGCUUUCCCUCGGAAAAAUUAUUUGUCGCCCAAAUCAGUUCACGAAAAGUGAACCUCCUCGACCCAGUUCCUACCUCAAAGUCAUUACUGAUAACAGCAUCAACGACGGUGUCUUUUUUUCUCCCCAACGCCGUAGUUCUCCACUUGAUGAACCAAAACAAGCCUAACCCACAACUCAAGGUACCGAUUCCCGCGGCCAAACCAGCA